UGUCCUCCACGACAAUAGAGCAAAUUGGUGUCCGUUACAACCCAUGAGAUCCAUGACUUCUUAUAAUGUAUUAUUUUUGUGCUUGAGAUAAUUUAGUCUGAAUUGUAGAGUAAUAUCUUUAGUUUCUUAUGCAGUUUUAGAGAUGCUCAACAACAGAGCAUAGAAUGUAGAGUGAAUGUAUUGAACAAUACUUUCAAUUACAUGAAUGAAGUUUAUGUUGGCUUUGAUGAGGAUAUAGUACCAUUGAGAAUAAGCUUUUAAAGUAAAUUUGACUGUUAUAUCA